GACGAACGCUGGCGGCGUGCCUAAUACAUGCAAGUAGGACGCAGUUGCGAACGGGUGAGUAACGCGUAGGUAAGUGCCUAUUAGAGGGGGAUAACUAUUGGAAACGAUAGCUAAUACCGCAUACUAGUAGAUGGAACUGAGUUGUAUUAGCUAGUAGGUAGGGUAAUGGCCUACCUAGGCGACGAUACAUAGCAGAGCUGAUAGGUAGAGCGGCCACACUGGGACUGAGACACGGCCCAGACUCCUACGGGAGGCAGCAGUAGGGAAUCUUCGGCAAUGGGGGGAACCGUGACCGAUCAACGCCGCGUGAGUGAAGAAGGUGUUCGGAUCGUAAAGCUCUGUUGUUAAAGAAGCGGUAAUUAACCAGAAAGGGACGGCUAACUACGUGCCAGCAGCCGCGGUAAUUC
rnacentral:rRNA from 1 species